UACGGGGGGAGCAAGCGUUGUCCGGAAUCAUUGGGCGUAAAGCGCGUGUAGGCGGUCCGGUAAGUCCGCUGUGAAAGUCGGGGGCUCAACCCUCGAAUGCCGGUGGAUACUGUCGGGCUAGAGUGCGGGAGAGGCGAGUGGAAUUCCUGGUGUAGCGGUGAAAUGCGCAGAUAUCAGGAGGAACACCAAUUGCGAAGGCAGCUCGCUGGAACGUAACUGACGCUGAGACGCGAAAGCGUGGGGAGCAAACAGG
rnacentral:rRNA from 1 species